rnacentral:lncRNA from 1 species
AGUGGUUGACGGUGCCCAAGGCAAUGGUAAGAAGGAGAAGAAAAGGAUCAAAGCUUUCUUUUGGGCUUUGAUGGCAUCUCUGACUCUGAUUUCCAGCGAACAUGGUGCUAGGGAAAUUAGCAAAAUGAGGAAGAAAAGGAUGGAAGAAGAGAGGAAGAGGACCAAUGCUCGUCGUGGAUUGCUCUAGAGGGGGAGAGGG